rnacentral:ncRNA from 1 species
GCAGAGUAGGCAUAUGCGCGUUAAGUGCCGGCUGAACAGGGAGUUGUCAGCUGGACGAAAGGGGAAGACCCUGCGGUGCAUAAGCCGCAUCCCGCUGC